rnacentral:rRNA from 1 species
UACAGAGGUCUCAAGCGUUGUUCGGAUUCAUUGGGCGUAAAGGGCGCGUAGGCUGCGGGGCAAGUCGGGUGUGAAUCUCAGAGCUCAACUCUGAAACUGCACUCGAUAACUGCUUUGCUUGAGGACUGGAGAGGAGAUUGGAAUUCACGGUGUAGCAGUGAAAUGCGUAGAUAUCGUGAGGAAGACCAGUGGCGAAGGCGGAUCUCUGGACAGUUCCUGA